UUACUAGGACCAUGUAAAUCUGAAUGACAGACCAGCAAACUGGCCCUUGCAAUUUAUUUUAUUUAUAGAUGUCCAGUUAAUAUGCUUGUCAGAAGCUCCUACUUUUGCCCCAUUGGUGUUUUUAAAUAUGUAUACUUCAGCUUUGGCCAUUAUACUUGGUUCAGUGCUACAAAUUCUAUUUGACAUGUAUGGAAACUUGCCAAACCUUGCCCUAGGCUUGUAUGUUCAGUCUUGCUCCAAAUGAUGACUUGAUAGUCUCGUUCGUCUGAAAUAUUCUGAAGAAUAUUCCUAGCAUGGUGGAGUUCUGAUGGAGUGUAGGUUAAAAUGACAACUUGUUGCUGCUAUUACAACGCUUUAACCUAAGUAUAUGGACGACACAAGUCUCAUGGCAGAUAGGCCUUGAUCAGGCCUUAAUCAGACCAGAUGUACCAAGGUAUAACAAACUUGGCGGGACGCAUUUAACUUGACUAUGCAUUUGUUACAGAUCUCUGUGGCCUAGAGAAGACCUUGAUGGUAUAAGACGGGUAUACCUGGCACUCUGAAUGGCGACACCGACUGGGUUUUAUGUACAGAAAAUGAAACUGCUCCAUCCUGUGGGGGGCUUAGAUGGAUUUGCAGAUCUACCAGUAAUUUCCUUCAAGAUGAGGUGAAGUGAUAGUAAAAUGGGGAACUUCAGGUAUCUGAUCGGUAAUACAUGGUGAUAACCAGAACUGAAGAAGACAUGACACAUCUUUUACCUGGAGGAAAAUUGGUUUAAAGGGUAUGUAAAGGUUCAGAGGAAUUUGUAAAGGAGCGUUGUGAAGACCUUCAAUAAAAUAUCCGGCCUGAGACCAAUCUGAAUCUUGCCCAACAGUGGUGUUUAGAACUCAUCGGCUCAAACCUCCAGAUUGUCUUUGCAGUGCAUCCUUGGCUGCCCCUCAACAUUGAUUGGACUAGAUGGGCUUCUGUUUUACGAUAAUGUCGUUAUAAAAAUGUUUUGAUAACAA